AGUGAACGCUGGCGGUAGGCCUAACACAUGCCAGUCGAACGGCAGCACAGUAAGAGCUUGCUCUUACGGGUGGCGAGUGGCGGACGGGUGAGGAAUACAUCGGAAUCUACUUUUUCGUGGGGGAUAACGUAGGGAAACUUACGCUAAUACCGCAUACGACCUACGGGUGAAAGCAGUGGAUCUUCGCACCUUGCGCGAUUCAAUGAGCCGAUUUCGGAUUAGCUAGUUGGCGGGGUAAAGGCCCACCAAGGCGACGAUCCGUAGCUGGUCUGAGAGGAUGAUCCGCCACACUGGAACUGAGACACGGUCCAGACUCCUACGGGAGGCAGCAGUGGGGAAUAUUGGGCAAUGGGCGCAAGCCUGAUCCAGCAAUACCGCGUGGGUGAAGAAGGCCUUCGGGUUGUAAAGCCCUUUUGUUGGGAAAGAAAAGCAGCAGGUUAAUCCCCCGCUGUUCUGACGGUACCCAAAGAAUAAGCACCGGCUAACUUCGUG
rnacentral:rRNA from 1 species